GGUCAGCCGACUGCUGCUCCCGAUGGUGGAGUUCCGGUAUUUUCCAACUAUCAGAAAUCUCCCAUGCCACUCCCAAUCAACUUAGCAGACAAAAUGCAGUAAUUUUGGCAUGUGGGUCUGGUCUGGAAUUAUUGUGAGUAGGCGACUCAUGAGCACCUACAAUGACUGGUUGUUAAAGAGAACCAGAAGCUUCACAAAGGCUCCAGGGAAAUUGAAGCUGAUGAAUCUUCUACUUUGGCUGACACGAAUAUCUUUCCCGGAGAUGUCCUCUAGGUCACAGACACAAAGAUCUAUGAAAAUCGUGAUAUAGCCGGUAAUUAAGCAUCACUACACUAUCCAACCUACACGAAGGCACUGUUGGUUCUGAAAGGCUCGCUGAGGUCGUUUCUCCCUUGAGAUGUGAAACUGCCAAAAGAGAGAUCAAGAAAGCGUCUACUGUGAAACAACAGAAAACAGAUAAUGCACCAGCAGUAGAUCAGCUGAUUAAAGAAGAGGAGAGAGAAACUGGAGAUACAGGUUUGAAGCCAUACUUACAAUAUCUGAAUUAGAGCAAGGGCUACUUGUAUAUUUCUCCUUGUCAGGCCUAUGCCAUCUCAUCUUUGUGGCUGGACAGAUCACACAAAACUCUUGGAUGGCUGCUAACAAAUCACACAAACUCAGGAAGAAAAUGCCACUUCUCUUAUAUUUAAAUAGAAGCCUCUAACGUUUCUCUAUUUGUGUUGAGAUUUCAAGUCUCUUGGACUGAGGGAGAAAACCACUCUCUGUUUUUCUUCUUUCUUUUUCAUUUCUUUCUGUUUUUUCAUGUUUUAUGGAUUGGGAUUCCAAGUCUAUUUGACUGAGAAUUGAAGACUCUUUCUGGGUUUUCUUGGGUUUUAUUUGAGAGGAAAAACCCAUUAAAAUAUUGUA